UACGUAGGGGGCAAGCGUUGUCCGGAAUCAUUGGGCGUAAAGCGAGCGUAGACGGCCCGAUAAGUCUGCUGUAAAAGUCAACGGCUCAACCGUUGAAAGCCGGUGGAUACUGUCGGGCUAGAGUUCGGAAGAGGCAAGUGGAAUUCCUGGUGUAGCGGUGGAAUGCGCAGAUAUCAGGAGGAACACCUAUAGCGAAGGCAGCUUGCUGGGACGAUACUGACGCUAAGGCUCGAAAGCGUGGGGAGCGAACAGG
rnacentral:rRNA from 1 species